UGAGGACAGACACACUUCCUGUUCCAUUCCGGCCGAACUCCUGCUCUCUCCGGAUCUCUGGAACCAUGGAGCUGGCAGCCCUCUGAUCCCUGACCCCAGCCCCAGCCGCGGCCCUGGAACCGCACAACCCUCUGCGAUCGCCCUCUCCCGGGUGCUGCACCGAGCAGAAAGAACCAGCCUGUUCUCUUUAACACCUGCAUGGACUCGACGGAUGCACGGUCAGUCUGACUCCGCCAACCAGCCACCUUGCUCCCGAGCCCUAUGCCUCCUGAGCCAGCCGCUCCAUCGCCACCCUGUCUGCGCAGCCCCGAGGGAGUGUCCGUGGGAACCACUGCACGCCGUGCAC